UGUGGCUCUGUGGUAGAGUGCUUGCCUUGAAAGCAUGAGGCCCUGGAUUCAAUCCCCAGGACCACAA
rnacentral:tRNA from 1 species